rnacentral:piRNA from 1 species
UGGAAUUGUGCUGCAUCCUAGGGAC